rnacentral:rRNA from 1 species
CCUACGGGGGGCAGCAGUGGGGGAUAUUGCACAAUGGGGGAAACCCUGAUGCAGCGACGCCGCGUGGGCGAAGAAGUAUUUCGGUAUGUAAAGCCCUAUCAGCAGGGAAGAAGAAAUUACGGUACCUGAGUAAGAAGCAUCGGCUAAAUACGUGCCAGCAGCCGCGGUAAUACGUAGGGUGCAAGCGUUAUGCGGAUUUACUGGGUGUAAAGGGAGCGGAGGCGGUUCGGCAAGCCUGAUGUGAAAGCCCGGGGCUCAACCGCGGGACUGCAUUGGGAACUACCGGGCUGGAGUGCCGGAGAGGGAGGCGGAAUUCCUGGUGUAGCGGUGAAAUGCGUAGAGAUUAGGAGGAACACCAGUGGCGAAGGCGGCCUACUGGACGGUGACUGACGCUGAGGCUCGAAAGCGUGGGGAGCAAACAGGAUUAGAUACCCUAGUAGUC